rnacentral:rRNA from 1 species
AGAGUUUGAUCCUGGCUCAGGAUGAACGCUAGCGGCAGGCCUAACACAUGCAAGUCGAACGGCAGCACGACCUUCGGGUUGGUGGCGAGUGGCGCACGGGUGCGUAACGCGUAUGCAACCUACCUAUUACUGAGGGAUAGCCCAUGGAAACGUGGAUUAACCCCUCAUGGUCUCUGAUACUCGCAUGAGUUGUCAGGGUAAAGGAUACGGUAAUAGAUGGGCAUGCGUCCCAUUAGUUAGUUGGUGAGGUGACGGCUCACCAAGGCGACGAUGGGUAGGGGCCCUGAGAGGGGGAUCCCCCACACUGGUACUGAGACACGGACCAGACUCCUACGGGAGGCAGCAGUGAGGAAUAUUGGACAAUGGGCGCAAGCCUGAUCCAGCCAUGCCGCGUGCAGGAAGACUGCCCUAUGGGUUGUAAACUGCUUUUAUACAGGAAGAAACCCAUGCACGAGAUGCGUGGCUGACGGUACUGUAAGAAUAAGCAUCGGCUAACUCCGUGCCAGCAGCCGCGGUAAUACGGAGGAUGCGAGCGUUAUCCGGAAACCAUUGGGUUUUAAAGGG